rnacentral:rRNA from 1 species
UACGAAGGGUGCAAACGUUGCUCGGAAUCAUUGGGCGUAAAGCGCACGUAGGCGGCUCCGCAAGUCGGAUGUGAAAUCCCUCGGCUCAACCGAGGACGUGCAUCCGAAACUGCGAAGCUUGAGUACUGAAGAGGAUCGCGGAAUUCCCGGUGUAGAGGUGAAAUUCGUAGAUAUCGGGAGGAACACCAGUGGCGAAGGCGGCGAUCUGGGCAGUUACUGACGCUGAGGUGCGAAAGCGUGGGGAGCAAACAGG